CCUACGGGAGGCAGCAGUGAGGAAUAUUGGUCAAUGGCCGGAAGGCUGAACCAGCCAUGCCGCGUGAAGGUCAGUGCCCUAUGGGCGUUAAACUUCUUUUGUUCGGGAGCAAUAAUGGGCACGUGUGGCCCGACGAGAGUACCGUACGAAUAAGCAUCGGCUAACUCCGUGCCAGCAGCCGCGGUAAUACGGGGGAUGCGAGCGUUAUCCGGAUUUAUUGGGGUUAAAGGGGGCGUAGGCGGACUGUUAAGUCAGCGGUAAAAGCCCGGGGCUCAACCCCGGCGAGCCGUUGAAACUGGCUGGCUUGAGAGGGCGAGAGGUAUGCGGAAUGCGCGGUGUAGCGGUGAAAUGCUUAGAUAUUGCGCAGAACUCCGAUUGCGAAGGCAGCAUGCCGGCGUCGAUCUGACGCUGAGGCACGAAAGCGUGGGUAUCGAACAGGAUUAGAUACCCGUGUAGUC
rnacentral:rRNA from 1 species